UACCGAGUGGGCAUCUGCAGAA
rnacentral:piRNA from 1 species